UGUUAUAUAAUUACAAAAAUUAGAAAAACCUAAAUAGUUAACAACAAAGGAUUAGUUGAGUACUCUGUGCUCUAUGAUGUUUCUGUGUAGAAAUACUAUACAUCUAUAAAAAAUGAUACCUGCCCAGUACUGCCUGCCCGCCACUGCCCAUCCAAUGCCUGUCCCCAGACUGAGGCCCAACCCCCUUGCCCUUAUCCAUCAAAGGCAUCGCCAGCAUGUCUGACAAACUGCCCUACAAAGUUGGUGACAUUGGCCUGGACACCUGGGGACACAAGGCCCUGGACAUUGAGAAUGAGAUGCCGGCCCUGGUGGCCCUGUGGGAGCUGUACUUGCCCUCCAGUACACUGAAGAGCGCCCGCAUUGCUGGCUGCCUGCAAAUGACUGUGGAGAUGGCCAACCUCAUUGAGACUCUCAUCUCCCUGGAUGUUCAGGAGCAGUGGUCUAAUUGCAACAUCUUCUCCAUCCAGGACCAUGCAGCAGCUGCCUUUGCCAAGGCUGGCACGCCAGUGUUCACCUGGAAGGGCAAAAUGAAUGAGGAGUACCCGUGGUGCAUUGAACAGACACUGUACUUAAAGGAUGGACCCUUCAACAUGAUUCUGGAUGAUGGGGGUGACCUUACUAACCUCGUCCACACCAAGUACCCACAGCUUAUGUCGGGCGUCUGAGGCAUCUCUUAGGAAUACCACAACCAGGGUCCACAACCUGUACAAGAUCAUGGCCAAUGGAAUCCUGAAGGUGCUUGCCAUCAACAUCACUGACUCUGUCACCAAGAGCAAAAUUUCACAGCCUCUGUGGCUGCCAGGAGUCCCUCACUGAUGAAUAACAUCAAGUGGGCCAAGACGUGAUGAUUGCCAGCCAGGUAGCAGUGGUAGCAGGCUAUGGUGAUGUGGGCGGGGCCUGUGCCCAGGCCCUGUGGGGUUUUGGGGCCCACAUCAUCAUCACCGAGACUGACCCUGUCAGUGCACUGCAGGCUCCCAUGGAAGGCUAUGAGGUGACCACCACAGACGAGGCCUGUCAAGAGGGCAACAUCUUUGUCACCACCACAGCCUGUCGACAUCAUCCUUAGCCAGCACUUUGAGCAGAUGAAGGAUGAUGUCAUCGUGUAUAACACUGGAUGCUUUGACAUGGAGAUCAGUGUCAGGUGGCUCAACAAGAAUGUUGUGGAGAAGUUGAACAUCAAGCCCCAGGUGGACCAGUGCUGGCAGAAGAAUGGGUGCCACAUUGUCCUGCUGGCUGAGGGUUGGCUGGUCAGCCUGGGUUGUGUCAUGGGCUGCCCCAGCUUCGUGGUGAGUAACUCCUUCAUCAACCAGGUGAUGGUGCAGAUUAAGCUGUGAACCCACUCAGACAAGUACCCCAUUGGGGUUCACUUCCUGCCCAAGAAGCUGCAUGACGCAGUGGCUGAAGCUCCCCUGGGCAAGCUGAAUGUGAAAUUGACCAAGCUGACUGAGAAGCAAGCCCAAUAGCUGGGCAUGUCCCGUGAUGGCCCCUUCAAGCCAGAUCAUUACUGCUGCUGAGAGCCAGGCCUGCCCUUCACCUGCCAGCUGCUGUCUUUGUUCAGGCCCUGCCUCUCCUCCCUAAAAGUGAAUGGCACCAAUUUUGCGAUUUGUUUGUUGGUGUCCCCCAUCGACUUCCUGGGGCUGGUCACUCAGUUUUUGGCCUCUGCAGCAUCCCUCACACUGUGUCAAGUGUGGCAGGGGGAAUUGAGAGGCCCCUCCUCAAGCCCUGGUCGUGAUGGAGAUACAAGGGAGGCAUCCACAGGGAAUCAUGAGCUGAGUGGUCUUGGAAUUGCUCAGUAAGUCAGUCCUUCCUAAGUUUGGAAGUUGGUAGUGGAGUCACAAAGCCCGUGUACCUUACCUUUCAGGUAAACUUCCUGGUCUGUGGACUUAGAUUUGUGUGCUUGGUUUACAGGGUCAGUGGUUCCUCAGCCCAUGACAGAUGAGAAGGAGCUAUAUUGAAGGGCAAAGAGGAACUGUGGUUUGAAUUUUCUUGAGAGCCUGGCUUAGGGCUGGGCUUUCUCUUAAACCUCAUAACAAUGAGGUUGGUACUUUUAGUCCCUGUUUAUAGGGGUUAGAAUAGACUGUUAAGGGAUAACUGAGAAAGGACAGAGAAGUGACAGCCAGAGGGGCCAUAAAAACAUAAAAGCAGGCAUAGAUCAGCUACCACUUUGUAACAAGAUGGUUCCUGUCACAACCCUGGGUCAAAAAGAGAAUGAUUUGGUUUAUAAUGUUAAAAGAAAGUGGGAAGGUGAGUAAAUAAAAACUUUGGUGCCU